rnacentral:rRNA from 1 species
GAUGAACGCUGGCGGCGUGCCUAAUACAUGCAAGUCGAGCGAACAGACGAGGAGCUUGCUCCUCUGACGUUAGCGGCGGACGGGUGAGUAACACGUGGAUAACCUACCUAUAAGACUGGGAUAACUUCGGGAAACCGGAGCUAAUACCGGAUAAUAUAUUGAACCGCAUGGUUCAAUAGUGAAAGACGGUUUUGCUGUCACUUAUAGAUGGAUCCGCGCCGCAUUAGCUAGUUGGUAAGGUAACGGCUUACCAAGGCAACGAUGCGUAGCCGACCUGAGAGGGUGAUCGGCCACACGGGAAGUGAGACACGGUCCAGACGCCUACGGGAGGGAGCAGUAGGGAAUAUUCCGCAAUGGGCGAAAGCCUGACGGAGCAACGCCGCGUGAGUGAUGAAGGUCUUCGGAUCGUAAAACUCUGUUAUUAGGGAAGAACAAAUGUGUAAGUAACUAUGCACGUAUUGACGGUACCUAAUCAGAAAGCCACGGCUAACUACGUG